UACGGGGGGGGCAAGCGUUGUUCGGAAUUACUGGGCGUAAAGGGCGCGUAGGCGGCCUGCUAAGUCACACGUGAAAUCCCUCGGCUCAAUCGGGGAACUGCGUGUGAUACUGGCGGGCUUGAAUUCGGGAGAGGGAUGUGGAAUUCCAGGUGUAGCGGUGAAAUGCGUAGAUAUCUGGAGGAACACCGGUGGCGAAGGCGGCAUCCUGGACCGAGAUUGACGCUGAGGCGCGAAAGCUAGGGGAGCAAACGGG
rnacentral:rRNA from 1 species